rnacentral:tRNA from 2 species
GCCAGGUUAGCUCAGACGGUAGAGCAUCAGACUUUUAAUCUGAGGGUCAUGGGUUCGAGCCCCAUAUCGGGCG